GAAAAUUAGGUAAGGAUGAAGGCUAUAAGAGGGGGAAGGGAAAGGGAGUAAAACAGGGGAAGAAGAGAUUGAGGUAAAAGAAUAAGAUUAAAAGGGAGAAAAUCAGGAAGAAGAAGCUGAGAGGAAGAGUGAGAAAGCAAGAAGAAAGAAGAGAAAGAAAAGAAGGAUGAAGUUCUAGAUAGGUCCUAUGAGUAAUCGAGUCUGCUGUCCUGAAACUGGAUGAGCUUGUGGCUGAAAGGAGUUAUUUGAGUUGAUCGUGGGAAAUCGAACAGUAAAAAUAAGAGGAUUAUAGAUUUAGAGUUGGAAAGGAUCUGGGAGAUGUGAUGGGGAUCACUUCAAGAUCAGCUUGAUAGAACAAAAAAGAAAGUGCCUGGCACCUAAUAGACAUUUAAUGUGUUUGCUGCUUGACAUGUACAUUAUUGUGUACAGGAAAUUGUCUGACCAAGAGCUGCUCUGAAGCUGUUUAUUGAGAUAAUUUGAUACCCAGAGUUCAAUGUCUAGAAAAUGUCUAGAAAUGGAUAUCUAUAUAAUUGCUAACCAACCAUGUGAUAUUGGGUGUCUCCUGAUGAAGGCGCAGCAUCAAUUUGAACAUCUGUCUUACCUAAACUUUGGAUUGCUUCCAGUGCUAUAUACAGUGGGUGCUUAAUAAAUGCUUGUAUGCAUAUAUGUGUAUGUGUAUGUGUAUGUGUAGAGGAAUACACCACAUCUGUUGGAGUCUUUAGUUUCUCAUAUGCCUCUUAGGGACAUAGAUGCCUGUGAUUUGGCAUCUUUAUUUUAGACAAGGCUAAGAGAGCUCAUGUGACUUGUCCACAGCCAGAGAGUUAGGUGUCUGAGUAUGGAUUUAAAUUUGGACCUUCUAAUUCCCAAUACAGAUUUUUUUUAACCAUAUCAUGCUGCCAAACUCCUAAUAUAUUUUAGACAGGGCUAUUUGUCUGUGUUCACCCAAGAGUGAAUCAAAAAUAACAAACCUUGAACAGAGAAACAAUUUUAAGACCCCCAAGUUGAAUAUUUGAGUAUCCUAUCAGGAUUUCCAUUGUAAUAAAAGUAAGAUUUAAUUUCCUUCUCUUAUUCCUGAGCAUGGCCCUUUAGGAUGAGCAGAAUCCUCCUUAAUUGGGGUGAUAUGGAAAAGUACCUGCCUCCCUUCCUCAGACAUGUAAGCUAAGACAUGUAAGCCAUCUUAGGAGUAGCUUGAUAGCACAAAAGGAAAAAUAACCUGAAAAAAGAAAUCUGUACUCUGAAUCAGUCCUAACACUGCAGGAAGGAACAGUGGAGAUAUUUUGGUGACUGAGGGAGUAUCAGAUUAACUCUUGUGCAAAUCAGACUGGUCAGGAGGAGGUCAGCAAAGCAAACUCUCUUCACUGGAGAGGAAUGGGAGGGGAAAUGAGUCUUCUGUGAUUCAGUGGAAAGAGCAUGGGACUUAGCAUCAGGAGAAUUGAUAACAAACUAUAAAUAUGAUGGAAUUCUCUUAUGUGAUAAAAAAUUAUAAAACUUAGGAGAAACCCAGGAAGACUUAUAUGAACUAAUACAGAGUAAGGAGAGUAGAAUCAGAAAAACUAUUUUAAAAAUUACAACAACAUUGCAAAGACAAACAGCUUUAUAAAGGCUUAAGAACACGGAUCAAUUCAAUGACCUAUUCUACAGGAUUGAUGAUGAGGCACGCAGAGAGGCACACGUUUUUUGCACACGACCAAAGUGAGAAUUGAUUUUGCUUACCUCUGCAUAUUUGUUCCAAGAUAUUUUUCUUUUUCUUUUUCUUUUCUUUUUCUUUUUCCAGUGUGGUGAAUGGGAGGGAGAGAAAAUAGAUUUUUGUUAAUUAAAAUAAAUGAAAUUAAAUUUAUAAAAAUAAAUGCUGGAUUUGUGUCUUGGUUGUGUCAUUUAUUAGCUGUGUGACCUUAGGCAAGUAGAUCUGCAGUAAACCUGCA